UACGUAGGGGGCAAGCGUUUGUCCGGAAUCAUUGGGCGUAAAGCGCGUGUAGGCGGCUCGGUAAGUCCGCUCUGAAAGUCCGGGGCUCAACCCCGGGAGGCGGGUGGAUACUGUCGAGCUAGAGUCCGGAAGAGGCGAGUGGAAUCCUGGUGUAGCGGUGAAAUGCGCAGAUAUCGAGGAGGAACACCGGUGGCGAAGGCGGGUCUCUGGGCCGAUACUGACGCUGAGGAGCGAAAGCGUG
rnacentral:rRNA from 1 species